CUUAGCAAUGACACAGCUCGGCCCCGGGGCCUCAUUGCUGAUAACGGGAACCGUGGCAACACAAAGCAUCCUGCAGUUUGUCGCUUAGAAUCCGUGGGUUCACAUGUGAGUGACUUCAGGACCGAUCUCUGCUUCACACAGAUGGUCCUUUCUAAUUACACGAAAAACCCCCAGAGAUUCAUGGUUUGAUGUUGCAGCUGCUUUUACAGCAGCUUCGUGAGGCCCUUUGUUAUUACUUCACUUUUUCAUUUAAUGAAUAUUUUAUGUAACAUGAAACUCGG
ensembl:lncRNA